GUUGCUGAAUAACGAUGGCAAGUCGUGGUUUCAUGCAGUUUUAAUCGUUUAGUCUGAUUGCUCCUGCGAAUUUGUGUGUUGCUUGCACAAAAGGUAGUGACCGGUAUCUGUUGCUAUAGGCAUUGGAACCUUCUCUGUUAAGGUGGAUGACAAUGGAUAUGGUGUCUCACGAGAUGGACUGGUGCUGAUUGGAGAAAGAUAUG